GUGUGGACAGCUAUGAGCCAAACUUGGGACGUUUGGUUUUUAGCAGGUGUGACCGUCUGGGCAGCAGAAACAAGACAACUAAUCAUAUUUAGAUACAAUCAAAUGUCCAAACCAUUUCUGAGUGAAUGACAUAAAGGAAACAGGAUCAAAAAGAUCAUUCAUUAUAGAAUGUUUCAUAGGUAACAGCACAUCCUUUGUGAAAAAUAAUUUAUUUUUGUGCCAUCAUCACAAGACAAAAUACAUUUCAACUGA